CCUACGGGAGGCAGCAGUAGGGAAUUUUCGGCAAUGGGUGGAACCCUGACCGAGCAACGCCGCGUGAACGAAGAAGUUAUUCGUAAUGUAAAGUUCUUUUAACAGGGAAGAAAGAGAAAUUUGACGGUACCUGAAGAAUAAGCUCCGGCUAACUACGUGCCAGCAGCCGCGGUAAUACGUAGGGAGCGAGCGGUAUCCGGAAUUAUUGGGCGAAAAGGGUGCGUAGAUGGCAUAGUAAGUCUUUUGUAAAAAUGCUGGGCUCAACCCAGUAGGGCAAAAGAUACUGCAAAGCUAGAGUAUGACAGAGGCAAGUGGAACUACAUGUGUAGCGGUAAAAUGCGUAAAUAUAUGUAAGAAAACCAGUGGCGAAGGCGGCUUGCUGGGUCGAUACUGACAUUGAGGCACGAAAGCGUGGGGAGCAAACAGGAUUAGAUACCCCGGUAGUC
rnacentral:rRNA from 1 species